AGAUUGAACGCUGGCGGCAUGCCUUACACAUGCAAGUCGAACGGCAGCACGGGAGCAAUCCUGGUGGCGAGUGGCGAACGGGUGAGUAAUAUAUCGGAACGUGCCCAGUCGUGGGGGAUAACGCAGCGAAAGCUGUGCUAAUACCGCAUACGAUCUAUGGAUGAAAGGCGGGGGAUCGCAAGACCUCGCGCGAUUGGAGCGGCCGAUAUCAGAUUAGCUAGUUGGUGGGGUAAAAGCCU
rnacentral:rRNA from 1 species